rnacentral:lncRNA from 1 species
GGGGAGGGGAAGGCCGUUGGCGGGCGGGAAACGGCGGCCUGGGGGGGUGGGGGGGAGGCGCAGCUCUUUUGGCGGGAAACGGGGGGCGAGGCCCGGCUCCAUCAUGGGGGGUGAAGCUGAUUCCACCAUAGCAGGCGAAGGCGCUGCAGGCGCACAGCCCAACCUGCAGCAGGGAGAGCUGCCGCAGUUCGGACACCCACCCCGAGCAGACCUUCAUCCCGGACAGUAUGUUGCAUGCUGGCAGGGGCAAGAGGAACUGCUGCAAGGAUCCCUCUGGUGGCCUGUCGGUCUGCCAGGUUGGCCCGGACCGGUUACAGGUUGGGAUGGCGAGCAGGGGCCAUGGCCGCGCCCGGCCCAACCGACGCGACGUAUCCACCCGCGACCCCGUAUCCCGCGCCUGGAUCGAUGGGCACAUCCAGAGCAGCGGGGCCCGAGGACCCCCAAUGGGCCGGGACCCCGCGGCUUCCCCGCACAGCCCCCUACCGUCUUCCCCUCCCCGGCUCGGAACCUGCCAUUCCCGGCCGUCCAGUUCAUCGUCCUUCAACCGCCCCCCAUGCCUCUGCCCCUGACGCCACCCCUGGCUCUGCCCCCGCCCAUGGUUCUGCCACCACCCUUGAUUCUGCCUCUGCUCCUGUGGCCCUUAGCCCGUGCUCCACGCAGGCCAAGGUGCGGGCACCCCCGGGAUGGGAGGCAGUGAGGAGGGGAGCUUAGCAGAUCAGGUUGGGGAGGGGAGGGCGCGGGGGUCCCUGAGGGACUCCUUGCAGGAAGGUCAUGGGGUGGGGGGAGUUAUGGGGGCAGGGGUGAGGACUGGAAGCUGGCUGGGUUUUAAGUUUUGUUCUCUGUGUUUAUUAAACUUUUGAAUCUGAACACUCCAUGGCUGUCUCUGAAUUUUGGGUGGGGCAUGGGGUGGUGAUGGGGCUGCUCCAAUGCUACCCAGGUUAGUUCUGAUCAGGAUGAGGAGCAGCCCUGGGAGCCCAUGUGGGGUAGCAGGAGAGGUCCAGGGGAGUCCGGGGCUGUUCCCUCCACCCCAGACAACAAGCUGCCAUGAUGGUCCUGGUGCUCUGCUCCUUCUUCCUCUUCCCCAUCAGCCCUCUCCCCAGCACAGAAACCCCACCUGCGACAUCUGAGGACACAAAUGCAAAGGGAAAAGAAAUCUGACGGCCUGCGGGAUCUCAGU